rnacentral:rRNA from 1 species
UACGUAGGGUGCAAGCGUUAAUCGGAAUUACUGGGCGUAAAGCGUGCGCAGGCGGUUGUGCAAGACAGAGGGGAAAUCCCCGGGCUUAACCUGGGAACUGCCUUUGUGACUGCACGGCUAGAGUGUGUCAGAGGGGGGUAGAAUUCCACGUGUAGCAGUGAAAUGCGUAGAUAUGUGGAGGAAUACCGAUGGCGAAGGCAGCCCCCUGGGAUAACACUGACGCUCAUGCACGAAAGCGCGGGGAGCAAACAGG